CGGGAUUUGGCGCAGUUGGUAGCGCACACGUCUGGGGGGCGCGAGGUCGCUGGUUCGAGUCCAGUAAUCCCGACCA
rnacentral:tRNA from 3 species